UAACGCUGGAAGCUUGCUUCCUGGCGACGAGUGGCGGACGGGUGAGUAAUGCUUGGGAAUUUGCCUAGUAGUGGGGGACAACACGGGGGAAACUCGUGCUAAUACCGCAUAAGCCCUACGGGGGAAAGCGGGGGAUCUUCGGACCUCGCGCUAUUAGAUGAGCCCAAGUCGGAUUAGCUUGUUGGUGAGGUAAUGGCUCACCAAGGCGACGAUCCGUAGCUGGUCUGAGAGGACGAUCAGCCACACUGGGACUGAGACACGGCCCAGACUCC
rnacentral:rRNA from 1 species